GCAAACUUGGUCAUUUAGAGGAAGUAAAAGUCGUAACAAGGUUUCCGUAGGUGAACCUGCGGAAGGAUCAUUACAGUAUAAACUUGAUAAAUUGUUGCUGGCUCUCUUGGGAGUAUGUGCACAUUUAUCAUUUUUAUCUUUCCACCUGUGCACCUUUUGUAGUUCUGGAACAACUGUUGCUGCAAUCAAUUUGCAAGUACUUUGAAGGCCUGCUGUGCUUUAUUUUAUUUUAGCCAGCUUGCCUUUUCUUGCUUUCCAGAUCUAUGUUUUUACAUAUACUCCAUGUAUGUGAAAGAAUGUCAUUUCAAGGCCAUUUAAAGCCUAUAGAACAAUAUACAACUUUCAGCAACGGAUCUCUUGGCUCUCGCAUCGAUGAAGAACGCAGC
rnacentral:misc_RNA from 1 species